AUUGAACGCUGGCGGCAGGCCUAACACAUGCAAGUCGAACGGUAACAGGAAGCAGCUUGCUGCUUCGCUGACGAGUGGCGGACGGGUGAGUAAUGUCUGGGAAGCUGCCUGAUGGAGGGGGAUAACUACUGGAAACGGUAGCUAAUACCGCAUAAUGUCGCAAGACCAAAGAGGGGGACCUUCGGGCCUCUUGCCAUCGUAUGUGCCCGGAUGGGAUUAGAUUGUUGGUGGGGUAACGGCUCACCAGGGCGACGAGCGCUAGCUGGUGUGAGAGGAUGACCAGCCACACGGGAACUGAGACACGGUCCAGACUCCUGCGGGAGGCAGCAGUGGGGAAUAUUGCACAAUGGGCGGAAGCCUGAUGCAGCCAUGCCGCGUGUAUUAAGAAGGCCUUGGGGUUGUAAAGUACUUUCAGCGGGGAGGAAGGGAGUAAAGUUAAUACCUUGGCUCAUUGACGUUACCCGCAGAAGAAGCACCGGCUAACUCCGUG
rnacentral:rRNA from 1 species